AUGAAAUAAGCCAUGCACAGAAAGACAAAUAUCACAUGUUCUCACUCAUAUGUGGGAGCUAAAAAGGCUAAACUUAUGGAGGUGGGGAGUAGAAUGGUGAUUACCAGAGGUUGGGAAGUGUUGAAGUCAGAGAGGAAGAGAACUUGGUUAAUGGGUACAAAAAUACAGUUAGAAAGAAGGAAUAAGUUCUAGUGUUCACAGUAGAACAAACAUAAUUAAUAAGAAUUUAUAGUAUAUUUCAAAAUAGCUGCAAGAAAAGCAUUAUAAUGUUCCCAACACGAAGAAAUGGUAACCGUUUCAGGUGAUGGCUAUCCCAACUACCCUAAUUUUAUAAUUAUACAUUAUAGGUAUGUAUCAAAAGAUCCCAUGUACUCCACAAAUAUGUACAACUAUUAUGUAUCAAUAAAGACAGAAAAAACAUUAUAUAUAAUUACAUAAUACAGACAUAAUGAAUAUGAAUCAACUCUUAGUAUAUAUGAGGAAGAAGUGCUUGAAAAAUUUCUGUAAUUUUAAUCAUUAAAAACCUAGUCUCCAGAAUUAAAUUUUAUUCACUUAAUCAAGUCUUGUUUCAGGAGAGAGAGACAGAUAUAAAGAAAGGGUAUAGCUACUUGAACAAGGGAGGCAGCAUCCAAAUGACAGCCUGCAUGUUGUUUAUUCACACAGAGUAACUGCUGGCCAAAAUAAUAUCUCCCGAUGUUCAUUUAGUGUUGACAGAAAUGGUGAGAAUAUUCAAUACUAUCAACUUUCAGCCACUGAAUGUGCUUAUUUUGAGAGCACUGUUCAAAGAAGUGGAUUCUAGCUAUAAACACUGCUUUUCCCCCCACUUAAAUAGUCUAUUGAAGAGGAAAAUACCCAUACACAUUAGUAAAAUGAGAAAUGAGAUAAAAAUAUUGUUUCCUUACUCUAAUGCCGACGAAGAAUAAUGGUAUGAUUUAAGGGACCUAAGUAAAUAGCAUAUCCCAGUAAUAUAAUCAGUAUUGUGAGCCACCUAACUCUCUCAUUCAAAGCCAAGGUGUGGAGAUUCUUAAGAUCAAAGAUAAGUGGUCGGAAUUUCUUAAGAGGGCCGACCAUGUGGGCAAGGGCUUUGUUGUUCAGACUUCGACCCUUCCCCAGAGCCUGAAGAUUUUCUUUAGAAAACAAAGUCAAUGCCACGACUGGACCUUUCAACACCACACCCAAAUGCUGCAACAGAUGAUAUCACUUUCCAGGGUAAACACAAGCAGUGUAUUCUGAGGCCACUGGCCCGACUUCCCAGGUUGACUCAUCCUGCCUUCCAGCCUUGAAGGGCAAUAUCCUUACCAACAUGUGAUCUGAAGGAGCUCUGAACCCUCCAGUGAGACAUCAGCCCAUCAGACUCACAGAGAACAGCAGGAAGGCCAAAGACUCAAGAUUUAUCUAUCCUUGAAGUGAGCAAAAUUCCUUGUUAUUCAGUGAUGCUGAUUACAACAGGCCUCCGUUAUACGAAGGGAAAACAUCCCAGACCCCCCAGUGAAUGCCUGAAACUGGAUUCUACUGAACCCUGAGAUGGUACUAAGUGACUAACGGGUGAAUAGCGUGUACAGCAUGGAUACACUAGACAAAGGGAGGAUUCGCAUCCCGGGCUGGUCAGCAAGAGGUUUCAUCACCCCACUCAAAAUGGCAGGACCGUAUGAACCUGAAUCCAGAGAAACGGCUCAUCAGUCUCCAAUCCUCUGAUUUUCUAAACCAGGACUACAUUAUAUUAAAACCAGAAAAAGCAAUACCUCUUUUCACAGAAUGGACUUUCUGGUGGAAAUGGGAGGAACCAAAAGAAGGCUGACUUCUUCAUUUUGACACCCUGCCCUGACUGCAGAACGUGAUUUCCCUAAAAGACUGAAUGUUAACCUCAAAGCCUGGUCAACCAACAUGCAGGAGAAAUCUUGACCAAGGCUCUGAGCAUGCUGUGGUCCCAGUGGUGAGGGUGUGAUAUGCACUGUCUGUUCCUGGAGUCACAGUGCUCAUCUUGUGGUAAAGACCUCUUGGAAGAAUGUCUUCAAAGGCACAUCUCCAGCUGGGAGUCCUUGUUUCCUGAUUUUUUUUUUUAAGUUUAUGUUAUAUGAACAAAUGAGACUGCUUUCCCGGCAGGAGUAGCCCUCAGACGCCCACUGUGAGCCUACUUUCUGGAAGAAGCCAACUCAGACAGACCACAGUGUGUGCACAGCAUACGUGGCUGCUGGCUGUGGAUGAGAAAGUAUUCCUGAUCUGUCAGAAUAAUGAUUUCAGCGUGUUCUCAGCAGGUCCUCAGUGUGAUCCCAUGAGGAUACCCUCAACCCCUUGCAUGACAUGUUGUACUUGGAGUCCUUCCCCAUUUCAAUUUCAGCAUCAGUGGGAGGGAAAUAGCAAAACAGCAUUCCUUCAUGUAGAUAACCAGUAGGCAGCAGGCUACUCCUGGUUCGUAACAUAACUCCACCAGUGUAUUCUGGCAGCCGGGCUUACUUAAGGGAGAGCACAGACAUUCCCUGCUCAAAAACAAAACUGCUAAACGUGACUCCGGUAGCCUCCAUGCUCUCUGCAAGAAUAAAAUCCUUGAAGAAAAA
rnacentral:lncRNA from 1 species